UCAUGUGGUAUCCAUGGUGGUAUCCAGGUAGUGGCUUAGCUGGAAAGUGAAAAAUGGCUUCAUUCACAGCUAGAAGUCUGGGCUUGGCUUAAUCUCUCUCAUCCUCCCUGUGAGCUCGGGACCUUUCCACACACUCUCUCUAGCAGAGUAACCGUAUAUCUUACAUGACACUUCAAGGCUCUAAGAGCAAGUAAUUAAAGAGACAGGAACUAAAAUCUCAUAGGCAUUAAUAAGGGACAGGCUCCCAAAAUGGCACUGUAUAGCUUCCAUAAUAUUGUUCGUCAUUAUAGUCACAAAGUACCCUGAGAUUUAAGGGGAGAGGCCUAACUCUCUGUGGAAAGACUAUUGUUCACAGAUUGCUGACAUUUCUCCCAUCUUUGAAAAUCUCAUGCCAGCAGGGCGCAGUGGCUCACAAUUGUAAUGCCAGCACUUUGGGAGGCUGAGGUGGAUGGAUCACUUGAGGUCAGGUGUUUGAGACCAGCCUGGCCAAAAUGGUGAAAUCCUAUCUCUACUAAAUUGCAAAAAUUAGCUGGAUGGCUCAUACCUGUCAUCUCAGCUACUUGGGAGGCUGAGACACGAGAAUUGCUUGAAUUUGGGAGGUGGAGGUUGCACUGAGACAAGAUUAUCAUGCCACUGCAUGCCAGCCUGGGUGACAGAGUGAGUGAGAUUGUCUCAAAAAAACAAAAAAAAAAAAGAAAAAAGAAAAAAAGAAAGAAAAGAAAAUCUCAUUCCAUCAGAGCCCUGCCUUGAAUUUAAGAAGCCGAUACAAUCAGGUCUAUGUAGAGAUGAGACCCUUUGUGUAUGUUUUCUUUGCAUGUGAAGACCUGUAGACUAUAGGAGUAAAUUUUGUGUACUCCACACAACAUAUCAGAGAGGAGUAGAUUCUUCUUUUCAAGAAAGAAAAUGGAAGCGUGUUCCACAGUAAUUCUAAAAUCCAACCUGAUGCAGGUCCCUAGAUCCUUACCUAGGGUCCAGUCUUGUUUCCUGGAAACUAUUGAGCUGAGUCUCAGUCUAUUUUUCCAUAAAAGCUUUACAGGAACCCUGUGUAUCAAUGAUGAUUGAGACCAUUAGAGAAAUCCAUAUACACAUUUGGUUCUGACAUAGUCCUUUUUUGCUGGGACUUAGGGCUUUCUGGGGAAAUGAAAAGAAGUUAGAAAGUGUUCAUCAGGCAUUCUUAAAAUUCUUAGAGAUAUAUCCUAUGAUUCCUAGAAGUCCAAGUAGGCUUACCUUCAGAUCUUUCUGAGAGGUCAACAAAAGAACAUCCACGAGCUUUAAAGCCAUGUUGUAAAGGUAGUAGCAGCAGCUCGGAGUUAACCCUUGUCCUGAGAUCAUUUUGAACUUUGAAACUCUAUUGCUGGGAGAGCCUGGGAAUGAGAAACAAUUUUACCUUCAUAUCCAGCAUGUUCUGGUCCUUUACACUUCCUACGAACCUUGAUGCAAACACAAGUUUAUUCUUUAGCCCAUUCCUUUCCAUAUUUUACCCUAGGCAGCUAGGAACCAGUUGGCACUUUCUCCAUUUUGCCUGUUAAUCUUCCUUGCCAGACCUUUGUAGAAGUCCGUCAAGUUUCUUAUCAUGUACAACACUAAUGCUAAACUUCUGCCAGCACAGAACAAGUAUCCCAUGUUUUCCAGCUUCCGAUAGCAUGUAUAGUGUACUGUAGUAUACUUCUCCAGUCCACUGACUCAAAUGUUAAUCUCCUUUGGUGACACCCUCACAGACACACCCAGGACCAAUACUUUGCAUCCUUCAAUCCAAUCAAGUUGACACUCAGUAUUAACCAUCACAGCUCCUGACACAGAGUUGUCAGACAGAGGCUCUCCACUCUCAGUAGUUGGCAUUACGAAGAGUCUAGGCCGGGCAUGGUGGCUCAUGCCUAUAAUCCCAGCACUUUGGGAGGCGGAGGCGGGUGGAUCAUGAGGUCGGGAGAUCGAGACCAUCCUGGUCAAAAAGGUGAAACCCCGUCUCUACUAAAAAUACAAAAGUUAGCUGGGCAUGGUGGUGCGCACCUGUAGUCCCAGCUACUCAGGGGCUGAGGCAAGAGAAUUGCUUGAACCCAGAAGGCAGAGGUUGCAGUGAACUGAGAUUGCGCCAUUGCACUCCAGUCUGGGUAACAAGAGCGAAACUUGGUCUUAAAAAGAAAAAAAAGAAGAGUCUAAAGAAUGAGGAGAAGCUUCCUGUGAUUAGACCAUGAGGAAGAACAUUCCAGAUGGUGGUUAAAACAUAAUGCGGAAGUUCUGGGGUCAGAAUGUGGUUGCUGUGUUUGAGCAACUGAAACCCCAGAAUGAGUGAUGCCUAGAGAGUGAGUUAGGUGAGAGACUGCCUGGGAUGAGAGAGAAAGGUAGACAGGAACUGAUCUAACAGGGCCUACUAAGCCAUAGUAAGGAGUUUAGAGUUUCUUCUUUUCCUUAGCCAGAUAGGAAGCUAUUCAAGUGUCUUUGCAGGAGAGGGCAAGGUCUGAUUUAUAUUUUAAGAUGCUCAGUCUGACUGCUGGUUGGAGAUUGAACCGGGGUGGAACAGAAGUGGAAGUGGGAGGAUUGGAAGAGCAAAGGAGGUGCCGGAAGACAUGACUUUUAUAUUAAGGCAAGGCCCUGUGCAAAAAGUGCUGAGGAUCCAAAGAAGUGAAAGGGUGAGCUUCUGGCUUCAAAUGGAGAAGCUGAGGAGAGAACGUCUACCCACAAACAUACGCACAUGUAUUAUUUCAGCAAACCUGGCUUAUGAAACGGAACAUGAAGAAAAGAAUCAAAUUAUUUGAUUAAUAUAUUUGUAAAUAUGGACAAAAAUAAGUAUAUGCACUUUUGAAACAAAGGUCAAUUAUCUGAAUAAAUUGUUUACAGGUUUGACAUCUUACUUUUGAUUUUAUUUUGAAAUGAUCAUGAUCUUCCUGCUUGAUAUUCCUGUGACCACAGCACCUUCUGCACAAUAGGAAUUCCAUGAAUAUUGUUAAAAGAAUCAGGACACAAAAUAAAGAAUGAACAUUAAAUAUCUAUAUUCUAAAAUGUUCAUUUCAGAGAAAUGUGCAUCUUAUGCAAAGAGGGUUGAAUUAUUAUUAAGUGGCUAAACUAAGUGUAAAUAUCCAUGAAUAAAACAUCACUCCUUAUAACCAUGGGGAGAAAUCUGAAAGGAUCAUGUCAGUGUACUUUUUAAAAAUACAGUUUAGCACGUCUGAAUUAUAUCACUCCAGAAUAAAAGGAAGAAAAUAAUACUGAGUCUUUCCUAGGGAGGCAAAAUAUAAAAAUUGGGACUAAGUCAUAAGUGAAGUAGUUUUACCAGAAAAAUAAAAGUGCUUCUGAGCUUUGAGACGUUUAUAUAUGUAUAUAAAGAUUGCUAUUUGAGCCACCACUCAGCUCUCUGACUAGUGUUGUAGCCUUAUAUUAUUUAUUCAGGGAGUGAUAUACUGUGAAUCUUGAAAAAACAAUUAUGCACACUCCUAGGAACUUGCCAUUCACCACUAACCCUCCCUACCCUAACCCAAAGCAUCAGCCCCAUAAGACUACACUUUUGGUUUUUGAUAAAACGUAGCUUAGUUGCAAGUGUCUGAGUUCAGCUUUGAUUAUGAUUUAAUGAGAUGGUAUCACUUCCUUAUUUAAAACCUUUCUAGACCUUUUUCAUUUCCCCGUGGGAAAGUUUAUACUCGUCACAAGGGUUAUACGCACAGCCUUCGGUGAUCUGCAUCUUCAUGGAAAACUUUUCCCACACUCUCUACUUGUCUACUCCUUUCUAUUCUUCAUGCUUCUGUUUACACUUUACAUCCUUUGGGAGAAAAUAACGUAGAUUCUGAGAGUUGGGGGUAGGCACUGUGUUUUUCUAAUUUACUUCUGAAUUUCAAGCACCUAGCACAGUUUUUGGCUUGUAUCAUUUAUUCAUUCAUUCAUUGACUUAUUCAUCAAAAAUAUAGAGAGCAUUUUCUAAAAGCCAGGCGUUGCUCUAGGCAUGGGAUUUAGAGUGGUUUAGUCCUUUUACUACUCUAUCAAGUCUCUUUAAAUGGGAAAUAGGGCAGUGAAGUCCAUGAUAAAGUCCCCUUUUCCUGAAUCUAGUAAGGAAGAUAGUUAAGACAUAAGGUAAUUUCAGAAAGUGAUAAAGGCUGUGAAAAAUAUAAAUCAUGGAGAAGUCAAGAAAAAGGUCAUGAUUUGGGCUGAGACUCGAUGAAAAGAAGAUAGCCAUGUGUUGCUCUUAAGAUAGAGCAUUCGAGUAGGAGGUAACAGCAUGUGCAGAGGCUCUGAAAACAAAUGAGCUAAGCACAGGCAAAAGAUGAAAGCAAGGCCACUGGGGCUGGAGCAGUGAACAGGGUGUGAAUUGAUAGGUCGUAGGGACUUAGACAGGGCAGGAGAUAGUUUAUGUGGGGAGUUGUAGGUCCUGGUGAAGUUUUUCAAUUUCAUAUGAAUUGCCUUCAGAUGCCGCUGGAGAAUUUUAAGCAUGAUCUGAUUUAUGUUUCAAUAAAAUCACUCUUGUUAUUACUUAAAAGAUGUGAAAUAUGGAGACACAGUGGAAGCACAGGAGUUGGGAGAAGGAUAAUACAAUAAAUAGUCUGGCAAGAGAGGAUGGGGCUAGGACAACAGUCCAGCCAAGAGAAGUAGCUGGAUUUGUAUUUCAAUCUUGGUUAAAUUUCUGGUAGGACUCGGAGUUCAUUCUGUGUCAUUGUGAAUUUUGUUGAGUUUCCUCAAAAGAACUAUUUUGACUUUUCUGGCUGUUAAGGUCGUAUAUCUCUCUCUCCAUAAUGUUUCACUGGUGACUUACUUAGUUCAUCUGGUGAUUGCAUGUUUUACUGGAUUGUCUUGAUGCUGAUGGGUAUUCAUCUUUACCUAGGCAUUGAGGAGUUAGGUAUUUACAGUAGUGUUUGCAGUCUGUGCCUGUUUUUCUUGGGAAGACUUUCCAGGUAUCCAAAGGGACUUGAGUAUUUUUAUCUAAGUUUUUGGUUACUGCAGCCAUGUCUGCAUUAGGGAGAACCCCAUGCCCAGUAACUGUUAGGCUCUUGAAGACUUCUAGAAGUCCUGUCUUUGUGGUUUUGGAUGAGAUCUGGAAGAAUUAUCAAGAUGAUCAGGCACAGACUCUUGUUCCUUCCCCUUACUUUCUCCCAAAUAAACAGAAUCUGUCUAUCUCUAAGCUGAGCUUCUUGGUCUGGGGAAGGGAUGACACCAUCAUGGGGACUGCUCUGAGUGAAGCCCAAAAUCAGCAUAACUCUGGGUCUCACCUGAGGUCCAUGGUAACCACUGCCUGGCUAUGUACUAUGUUAACUCAAGUUUCUAGAGGUCUAGAAUCAGCUGGCGGUGAAUCAUCCUGGCUAGAAUCAUCCUGGCUUGUGACCCACCAUUCAGGGCAUGUUCUUAUAACAGUGUGAGUAUGGACUAAUACAGUGCUGUAACCUACCGUGCCUGAGCUCUUACCUAUGCUAUAAGACAAAAUCCUUUUUACUUUUAUCUCUCCUUUUCUCAAACAGAAGGAGUCCCUUCCCCAUGGCCCACACAGCUGAGAAUUAGGUGUUAGGUCACACCUAAAGUAAUCACACUCCUGAGUCUCACCCAUGACCCAUUGGUGAGUACUGCCUAGGUAUCCCUGCUGAUUAUUCAGGCCCAAGGACUCUUCAGUCAGCAGGUGAUGAGUCCUGCUGGGGCUGUUUCCCUUCAAGCAAGAGGGUUUCCUUCCAGCCCAGGGUUUGUUUGGAAAUGUCACUAGGAAAGCAGGCCCUGGAAUAGGGGCCUCAGUACUCUGCCUGGUACCGUAUCCUACUGUGGCUGAGCUAAUACCCAAGUUGGAAGACGAAGUCCUCUUUACUUUUCCAUUUCUUCUUUUUAAGCAAAAAGAAAGAGCCUCUCCUAAAGCUGCAAGCUGAGUUUUCUGGCAUUGGGCUAGGGGUGGCAAAAGCACUCCUUGGCCACCCCUGCUGGCAUCUCACUGGGUGGCUUCCCCAACAGGUUCACUGGCUCUGAGCCCAGCACAGUACCAAGACUUGAUCAGGAAUUGCAAGGCUUUGUGGCUUAGGCUCCCUUUCAAAUUUAGGUAGGACCACAGAGUACUUUAUUAGCCUGUGGUGAUGGGGCUGCCAGAUCUCAGGUUCUUGCCACUGGGAUUAACAAUUUUCCUCUGGCUAGAGCUGGCAUAAAUGUUCCCUCUGUGAGUGCUCACUGAGUUCUGCUUGGUGUUACCUUCUACUGUGGCAAAGAAGCACUGAGUUCCAAUUCAGAGUCCCACAAUCACUGCUCUCUCCUUGCCCUAAGUACAUAGAUUUUCCAUGCUACGGUGCUGCUUCUGGGUAGUGGUAGGGGGUGGCAUGGUCAUCUUUUCUACCCUCUUCAAUACCUUUUUCAGUGAUGUGAAGUUAAAAUCAGGUACUGUAAUUACUCAUCUCAUUAUUGGUUCUUAUGAAGGUGCUUUUUUGUGUGAAUAGUUGUCCAAUUUGGUGUUCCUGUGGAGACAAUCAUCAGUGGAUGUUUCUAUUUGACCAUCUUGCUAUGCCUUGACAUUCAAGUGUUUUUUUGUUUUUUGUUUUUGCCUACGGCACUCGGUAUUCCCAGGUGGUCUCCCAUCCAAGUACUAACCAGGCCCGACCACGCUUUGCUUCCGAGAUCUGACGAGAUCGGGCGCGGACAUUCAAGUGUUCUUGAUGAGCCAUUCUCAUUUUAGAGGCUCACUGAUUUUUCUUUUCUUUUAACUAACAAACUAUUAAUAAUUUACACCAUACAAGUUAUUACUUGGCUGUAAAUCAUUUCAUACCAGUAU